rnacentral:rRNA from 1 species
AGCAGUAGCCACGGGAAUACGGAGGGGGCUAGCGUUGUUCGGAAUUACUGGGCGUAAAGCGCACGUAGGCGGCUUGGUAAGUUAGAGGUGAAAGCCCAGGGCUCAACCCUGGAAUUGCCUUUAAGACUGCCGAGCUAGUAGGUGAGAGAGGUAAGUGGAAUUCCGAGUGUAGAGGUGAAAUUCGUAGAUAUUCGGAAGAACACCAGUGGCGAAGGCGGCUUACUGGCUCAUUCUAGACGCUGAGGUGCGAAAGCGUGGGGAGCAAACAGGAUUAGAUACCCGCGUAGUCCCUGUCUCUUAUAC